UCUUUAUAUAUAUCUCUCUCAUUUCUAAUGGUCGAUUGUCAAAUCUCUAUCUCUAUCUCUUUCUCACUCUCACUCUCCUCCUCUCUCCAAUUUUGUAACAAUCAUUGUGAAACUAGAAGGGGGAUCUCCAAAAUAUCACCGAUAUGGGCUCUAAUCCAUGUCAUUCAUCUUACGAUUGCAUUAUCAUGGCGGCACUCCUUUGUUGUCUUCAUUAUUACGCUUUGUUCGGAUCCAUACUAUGCUCAAGCAUGUGUAUAGAACCAAGCCAAAGUUGGCUCGGACUUAGAGUUACAGUCGGAGACAAAUCUAUGCUCAAGUCCAAUGUGAGAUCGGAGAUAGUAUGGCAUGAUGUGAAGCAUAUUCCAGAGCAUUGGGCUUGUUGCAUGUUGUGAAAUAUGAGACAAUUGCUGAUGAAUUGUAUAGAAUGAUAAAAAAAAAAAAAAAUAGAAAUUGACACAGAUUUAAUGCGGUUCGGUGAUAUGCUUACAUCCACAAAGAGUGAACAGCGCAAAAUUCACUAUCAGUUAAUUAGGAUUACAUAAUGUAUAUUUAUACUAAUCCUAGACGUACGGAUAUAUUUAAAAAAAUUACAAAAAUACCCCCAUGUAUGAGCCAUAAACUUCAACAUUGUGGCUUAGAGGCGAGGGAUUAUGCAGGAAGUUCUUCAUUUUCUGAUAUUGAUUCAAAUACUUUCUCCAGAAACACGCAGACUGCAUGCUCGAAAACUUUGAAUAUUGAACCAAGGCAAAAGGGGUUGGAAUAGAGAUUCAGGGUUGAGUCAACAUGAUUCAAUUUCCUCCAAAGGUCUCGUUUGAAUGAUCUCUACUUAGGGCUUUGGCUGCAAAGAUGCAAUGUAUGGGGGCGUAUGUAAAAUAUAGAAUUUCUUAUAAACAUAUGCAAAAACAAAAGAUGCUGAAGAUCAUGACUAAAGUCCGAAUUAAGCAGUCUAGAAGAUUGAUAUGUGUAAAGUGGUUAAAGAUACGUUUGACUUUCUUAAUGAAGUCAGUUUUUUUUUUUU